rnacentral:lncRNA from 1 species
ACUCGGCUUCUGAGCCAGAUCCUGUCAGGACACCUUCUUCAACCUGCCAAGCGGGGACCCACCCAGGAGUUCCUAUUUUUUCCUGAUUUGCUCUGAGAAGAGGCCGAAACACCGGGAGCCCAGCUUCUCCGGAGCUGCCUGCUCACGAGGCUGCACUCCCUCUGGCCUCUGCCACUCCCUCCCGGCUGGGCUGAAACUGCUCUUGUCCAAGUCACCAACAGCCUCUGCGCUGCCUGCCGAGCACAGUGGGUGCCUCGUCCUCUCCCCAUCGUCCUUCACAGUGGUCGCCUCCAUUGUAGGCCGCUCCCUGCUCAGUCAGCUCCUGGCACUGAGCCUCCUGCUUUUCCUCCCACUCUGUGCCUCCUCCACCCAACUCUAAGCAUCAGGGGCUGGUCUCGGCCCCCUUCCUCUCCAUUUGCAAUCUGCCUAGGCCUAGGCCAUCGCUUACCUUAGAUACCAUCCCCAGCACCUUGACUCCCAAAGUCUCUCUCCGGCACAGACUUCCAUUCAGCUCAAGACUCAUACCUGACUGCCUACUUGACCUCACCACUUGAAAGCCUCCAGGACCUUAAAACAGAGCCUCACUGUCCACCCGUCCCAUCAGCAGGCCCACACCACAUGACAGGCCAGCCCCACUGUGACCCACACCACAGAACACCCUUGCACUUUUCACUGCGCCCAAUCUCUCCUCCACCCCAGCCAGAGUGAUUCUGGAAUUUGUACCAUGUUCAUGUAUUUUAUAAUUUCUAAAACAUUAAUUAAAAAUAAAAAAAAACUUGAAAGCAGGGUAUCAAAGAGAUACCUGUACACCCAGGUUUAUAGCAGCGUUAUUUGCAGCAGCCAAAAGAUGGAAUCUGCCAGGGUACAGUGGCUCACACCCAUAAUCCCAGCACUUUGGGAGGCCAAGGCAGGAGGAUCACUUGAGCCCAGGAGUUCAAGACCAGCCUGGGCAACAUGGCAAGG